GGUGAACGCUGGCAGCAGGCCUAAUACAUGCAAGUCGAACGGCAGCACGGGUAGCAAUACCUGGUGGCGAGUGGCGCACGGGUGCGUAACGCGUAUGCAACCUACCUAUAACUGGGGAAUAGCCUUCUGAAAGGAAGAUUAACACCGCAUAAUAUCACGAGACGGCAUCGCCUUGUGAUCAAAUCUCCGGAGGUUAUAGAUGGGCAUGCGUGACAUUAGCUAGUUGGUGAGGUAACGGCCCACCAAGGCUACGAUGUCUAGGGGGUCUGAGAGGAUGAUCCCCCACACUGGUACUGAGACACGGACCAGACUCCUACGGGAGGCAGCAGUAAGGAAUAUUGGACAAUGGGCGCAAGCCUGAUCCAGCCAUGCCGCGUGAAGGAUGACGGCCCUCUGGGUUGUAAACUUCUUUUAUACGGGAAUAAACCCCUCGAUUCUUCGAGGGCUGAAUGUACUGUAAGAAUAAGGAUCGGCUAACUUCGUGCCAGCCGCCGCCGUAA
rnacentral:rRNA from 1 species